rnacentral:misc_RNA from 1 species
GAUGAAGAACGUAGCGAAAUGCGAUACGUAAUGUGAAUUGCAGAAUUCAGUGAAUCAUCGAAUCUUUGAACGCAUAUUGCGCUCUCUGGUACUCCGGAGAGCAUGCUUGUUUGAGUAUCAGUAAACACCUCAACUCCCUUUUCUUUUUUGAAAUUGGAGCUGGACUUGAGUGAUCCCAACGCUUUCUUCCAAGAAAGUGGCGGGUUGCUUGAAAUGCAGGUGCAGCUGAACUUUUCUCUGAGCUAUAAGCAUAUCUAUUUAGUCUGCCUAAAAAACAGAUUAUUACCUUUGCUGCAGCUAACAUAAAGGAGACUAGUUCUUGUGCUGACUGAUGCAGGAUUCACAGAGACAGCUUCGGCUGACUUUGUAAACUCGAUCUCAAAUCAAGUAAGACUACCCGCUGAACUUAAGCAUAUCAAUAAGCGGAGGA